GACGUAGGGCGCGAGCGUUGUCCGGAUUUAUUGGGCGUAAAGAGCUCGUAGGCGGCUCGUUGCGUCGGCUGUGAAAACCCGCAGCUCAACUGUGGGCUUGCAGCUGAUACGGGCGGGCUGGAGUUCGGUAGGGGAGACUGGAAUUCCUGGUGUAGCGGUGAAAUGACGCAGAUAUCAGGAGGGAACACCCGGUGGCGAAGGCGGGUCUCUGGGCCGAUACUGACGCUGAGGAGCGAAAGCGUGGGGAGCGAACAGG
rnacentral:rRNA from 1 species